rnacentral:rRNA from 1 species
AUUGAACGCUGGCGGCAUGCUUUACACAUGCAAGUCGAACGGCAGCACAGGGAGCUUGCUCCUGGGUGGCGAGUGGCGAACGGGUGAGUAAUGUAUCGGAACGUUCCUGGUCGUGGGGGAUAACUACUCGAAAGAGUGGCUAAUACCACAUGAGAUCUUUGGAUUAAAGCGGGGGACCUUCGGGCCUCGUGCUACUGGAGCGGCCGAUAUCAGAUUAGGUUGUUGGUGGGGUAAAGGCCUACCAAGCCUGCGAUCUGUAGCUGGUCUGAGAGGACGACCCGCCACACUGGGACUGAGACACGGCCCAGACUCCUACGGGAGGCAGCAGUGGGGAAUUGUGGACAAUGGGCGAAAGCCUGAUCCAGCAAUGCCGCGUGCAGGACGAAGGACUUCGGGUUGUAAACUGAUUUUGUACAGAACGAAAAGUCUCUGGCUAAUAUCUAGAGAUCAUGACGGUACUGUAAGAAUAAGCACCGGCUAACUACGUG